rnacentral:misc_RNA from 1 species
AACCAUUCUCACCUGCGGCUAGACCUGCGGAGGGAUCAUUAAAGAUUGACCGAAAGGUCUUAUCUCUAUAUCCCUCACCUCUGUGAACUGUGGACCUCCGGGUCUAUUUAACAAACAUCAGUGUAAUGAACGUAUAUAUCAUUAAACAAAACAAAACUUUCAACAAUGGAUCU